UUUUAUGGUCACGUAUUAUCCGAUAAACGAUAGAGGCAAGGCUCUAAUGGUACAUAUUUAAAUAUCAAUAUUUUGUAAUUUCUUUUUUUUUCAUUAUUAAUUCAUUUAUUUAAUGUUUAUAAUAGUCGGAUUAUGAAACGUACAAAAAAGAAAUUUUGGAUAAACAACAAACAAUAGAUGAAGACGAGGAUGAGGAGUCAACAGACGAAGAAGAUAUGUCAACACAAGGAUCGAUCUCCUACAGGCGAAAAAAGACGCUAUUCACUGAUGACAGUCUGGAAGCUUGGAUUAAGGCUACAGGAGGCUAAACAAAGGGCCGUAUUCUCGGAUUGAGACCGGGGGACAAUUCAUUGACGCCAAAGAAAUCCAAAGCUAAAUUGAAUCGCCAAACAAGAGAAGAAAUAGAAAAUAAGAAAAAAGAAGAAUUCGAUAAUCGAGUUCAAAAAGCCCAAAAAGCCGUGAACAUGCAAUUAGAGACGGUCGUUAGCCAGAGAUUAGAUUCGGCCGUUAACCAGAGAUUCGAGACGGUUAACCAACAAAUGACGGCCUUGAUACAAAAACAGAAAGACUUGUU
rnacentral:lncRNA from 1 species